GCCCAGAUAGCUCAGUAGGUAGAGCAGCGGACUGAAAAUCCGCGUGUCCGUGGUUCGAAUCCGCGUCUGGGCACCG
rnacentral:tRNA from 1 species